UAUAGCAUAGCAUUAAUGCACCAGAUCCCAUUAGAACUCCACAGUUAAGCGCGCUCAGGUACAGUAGUACUAGGAUGGGUGACCCCCGGGUAAUCCUAGUGUUUCAAUCC
rfam:Picea glauca, whole genome shotgun sequence.